rnacentral:siRNA from 1 species
GAACGGUGAUCCAUCGCCUAUUGC